AUGGCUUUCCACAUGAGAUCCAUAAGUUUGCCUUCUAGGCCUCAGGCCAAUGAGACCGAGGUCGAGCAAGAACUGCUGAGCCUAGAGGCAAGCAUCUCUUCUUCCAUCACCAUCGGCAUGAUGUGUGAUGGUCUGAGGAGGCUCGGAGACAUCUACAAUGGUGUUGAAGAGAUGAUUUGCCUACCAAGAAACCAAGUUAGCUCCACUCAGCAGAGGAAGAUGUUGGAUGGAGAGAUGGAAUGCUCUCUUGAGUUGUUGGACCUCUACAGUAACAUGCAAGAGAUCUUCGUCGAAAUGAAGGCCAUCAUCCAAGAGCUGCAAGUGGCUCUAAGAAAAGGGGAUGAUGCAGCUGCUCAAGCCAAGAUCCAAUCUUAUGCCCGCUUGGCGAAGAAGGCCAAGAAUCAUUUCAAGAAGGCCACAAAAAAGACUCCUGCAGAUUGCAAGAUGGUCAUGCUAUUGACCAAGGCCAGAGGGAUCUCUGUCUCUCUCCUGGAGUCCACACUCCAUCUCUUGUCGAAGAAAAUUGAAAUGCCUAAACAGUCUCUUGUUUCCAAGGCAUUUCACCAAAAGAAGGCAGUUGUCUGCAAAGAGGAGCAAUUGCAGGAGCUAGAGUGCAGUAUCGGAGAUCUUGAGAGUGGAGCAGGACAUCUGUUCAGGAAAUUAGUCCAGUGCAGAGUUUCUCUACUCAACAUUCUUAGCUCGUAG
rnacentral:rRNA from 1 species